rnacentral:rRNA from 1 species
AAGAGCUUGCUUUUCCGCUGACGACCGGCGCACGGGUGCGUAACACGUAUGCAACCUACCUCUUACUGAAGGAUAGCCCAGAGAAAUUUGGAUUAAUACUUCAUAACACCACAAGAUCGCAUGAUCUCAUGGUCAAAGGUUACGGUAAGAGAUGGGCAUGCGUCCUAUUAGUUUGUUGGUGAGGUAAUGGCUCACCAAGACUACGAUAGGUAGGGGUCUGAGAGGAUUAUCCCCCACACUGGUACUGAGACACGGACCAGACUCC